GUAGGGAGCAAGCGUUGUUCGGAAUUAUUGGGCGUAAAGAGCGCGUAGGCGGCUUGGCAAGUCUGGGUGUGAAAUCUCACAGCUCAACUGUGAAACUGCAUCAGAAACUGCCAGGCUUGAGUGCGGGAGAGGAAAGUGGAAUUCCCAGUGUAGAGGUGAAAUUCGUAGAUACUGGGAGGAACACCGGUGGCGAAGGCGGCUUUCUGGACCGCAACUGACGCUGAGGCGCGAAAGCUAGGGGAGCAAACGGGAUUAGAUACCCCGGUAGUCCUAGCCGUAAACGAUGGGCACUAGGUGUAGGGGGUAUUGACCCCUUCUGUGCCGCAGCUAACGCAUUAAGUGCCCCGCCUGGGGAGUACGGUCGCAAGACUA
rnacentral:rRNA from 1 species